CCUACCCCAGGGGCGGAUCAACUUCACGCGUUAGCUACGUUACUAAGUCAAUGAAGACCCAACAACUAGUUGACAUCGUUUAGGGCGUGGACUACCAGGGUAUCUAAUCCUGUUUGCUCCCCACGCUUUCGUGCAUGAGCGUCAGUAUUGGCCCAGGGGGCUGCCUUCGCCAUCGGUAUUCCUCCACAUCUCUACGCAUUUCACUGCUACACGUGGAAUUCUACCCCCCUCUGCCAUACUCUAGCCCGCCAGUCACAAAUGCAGUUCCCAGGUUAAGCCCGGGGAUUUCACAUCUGUCUUAACGAACCGCCUGCGCACGCUUUACGCCCAGUAAUUCCGAUUAACGCUUGCACCCUACGUAUUACCGCGGCUGCUGGCACGUAGUUAGCCGGUGCUUAUUCUUCCGGUACCGUCAUCCUCCCGCCGUAUUAGGACAGAAGUUUUCUUUCCGGACAAAAGUGCUUUACAACCCGAAGGCCUUCUUCACACACGCGGCAUUGCUGGAUCAGGCUUUCGCCCAUUGUCCAAAAUUCCCCACUGCUGCCUCCCGUAGGAGUCUGGGCCGUGUCUCAGUCCCAGUGUGGCUGGUCGUCCUCUCAGACCAGCUACAGAUCGUCGCCUUGGUAGGCCUUUACCCCACCAACUAGCUAAUCUGCCAUCGGCCGCCCCUGUAGCGAGAGGUCCUAAGAUCCCCCCCUUUCCUCCGUAGAGCGUAUGCGGUAUUAAUCCGGCUUUCGCCGGGCUAUCCCCCACUACAGGACACGUUCCGAUGUAUUACUCACCCGUUCGCCACUCGCCACCAAGGGUUACCCCCGUGCUGCCGUUCGACUUGCAUGUGUAAGGCAUGCCGCCAGCGUUCAUCUGAGCACCGAGGAAUCAAAACCUCA
rnacentral:rRNA from 1 species